rnacentral:lncRNA from 1 species
ACGGUUACCUUAGACUGGAGCACCUAUUUAAUGUGGGGAUUGAAGUGGCAGAAGGUAAGACCUAGAGAAAAAUCCUAAUAUUCAAAACCUGAUCCAUCUCUUCUGUGAGUUGGCUCUGUGGUGAGUGGGUGAGUUGCUGAGUGCCUCGUUUUCUUGGUCUUACCUCUGAUCUGAGUGUGUUAGGGUUAGGGAGGGAGUGAGGGUGUGAGAGAUCUGUUCUCUGUUGGUGCAAUCUUAGUCUGCGUAUGUGUAAGCCUUGAGAUCUCUGUGAAUCUCUGGUGUGAAUCGGUUUAGAAGACUGAGCUAUGCUUUAUUCUAUAUCAUCUUUCAAUCUUUCUUUCUUAUUUGUUUAUUUAUGAUUUAUUCAUCUUACGCUUUUCUGAGUUGCCUAAGUUUCUUCAAGUGGAAUCAUAACACUAUGUACUUGUCUUUCUUAUUUGUUUCGACUGAAAUUCUGUAAACUUUCAAUUUUUUAAGGGGGAAAAACACAUUUCAUCAGAUUCGAGAUGUGGCCCAGCGAGCUAUGGAUGAAAGAUGUUGUAUUUAUUUAGUUAUCUCUAAGCUUCUAACCAGUAUUAUAUAAACAGAGUGGGUAUACAAACUGACUUUGACAUCCUUUUUCGGAUAGGCGAUGAUCUCUGGUUCCUAGUAGAUGGUAUAGACCGAGUGUUGACUAAUUAUCUCGACUUCUCAUUUCAAAUAAAUUUCAGAGAAAAAUAUGUUUAAUUUGUCUUAAACAUUGAUGAAACUUGUACGUGUACAAUGAUUAAUAUUGUGGAAUUUAAUUUCUGCAGUGAAGAAUGGAACUUUUAGAAAGUUGUGAUGGUGAGGCACCAACAAAGUCCAUCUUGCUCGGCACCCAUGGAUGAUGACAACCCUUGAUUUCGAGUUGUCGAAAAUGAAGAAGCUUGUUUUUACUAAAACUUUACCUUUAAAUAUUCUGCUCUUAUUAGGAGGAAUGAGAAUUUCGAGGUUGCAACCAUUGAUGCUUCAUGUGGUCCGAAUUCCGAUUAAUUAUGUCAUUUGUUACAUUUUAGAAAUGUGGUUUGGAUUAGGAUUGCGUUCCGGAUUCGAAUAUAUAUCUACGCCAUUUUAUUUAUAUUUUGGAAUAUCUUGG